rnacentral:rRNA from 1 species
UACAGAGGGGGCAAGCGUUAUUCGGAAUAUUGGGCGUAAAGGGCGCGUAGGCGGCCUGGCAAGUGGAUGGUGAAAUCCCUCGGCUUAACCGAGGAACUGCCAUCCAGACUGCUUGGCUUGAGACCGGGAGAGGUGAGUGGAAUUCCCAGUGUAGCGGUGAAAUGCGUAGAUAUUGGGAGGAACACCAGUGGCGAAGGCGGCUCACUGGACCGGUACUGACGCUGAGGCGCGAAAGCAUGGGGAGCAAACGGGG